rnacentral:misc_RNA from 1 species
UUUUUUUUCCCUCCCCCUUCAAACUCGAGGAAUUUAUGUUUGUAGCUAUGUUGGGACAAGGAUGAAUUCUUUGUGCUCCCUCUUUGACAUGCAUAAAUUUGCUUACUGGAUCCUCAUUUUAUGCCUGAACAUUGUGCCCAUUGAAGGCAUAAAUUUUUGCAAGUCUUUACCAUUCAUCUGUUGGUAACAGAAGAAAUGCAAGCACAUGUUUUCAGAAGUAAUUCUCUCCUUGCAUUGUUGUUGCCUAUAAACAGAUGCAUCAAUUGUUUCUUGGAGUUGCUGAGUUGUUGUCAGAUGGUGUGAACAUUGCAACUGUAAGUUUUACAUGUAAAAGUUUUCUCACUUUCUUUAUCAUGGGAUAUCGAAUCUUCCAGAUAUAAUCAUCAUUUGGGUUUGAGUAACUCAUAUGGGAUGCAUUGAAAAAUUUAUUUCUUGCUA